rnacentral:rRNA from 1 species
AGCGGCGGACGGGUGAGUAACGCGUGGGUGACCUGCCCCAUACCGGGGGAUAACAACUGGAAACGGCUGCUAAUACCGCAUAAGCGCACAGGACCGCAUGGUCCGGUGUGAAAAACUCCGGUGGUAUAAGAUGGACCCGCGUUGGAUUAGCUAGUUGGUGAGGUAACGGCCCACCAAGGCGACGAUCCAUAGCCGGCCUGAGAGGGUGAACGGCCACAUUGGGACUGAGACACGGCCCAGACUCCUACGGGAGGCAGCAGUGGGGAAUAUUGCACAAUGGGGGAAACCCUGAUGCAGCGACGCCGCGUGAAGGAAGAAGUAUCUCGGUAUGUAAACUUCUAUCAGCAGGGAAGAAAAUGACGGUACCUGACUAAGAAGCCCCGGCUAACUACGUGCCAGCAGCCGCGGUAAUACGUAGGGGGCAAGCGUUAUCCGGAUUUACUGGGUGUAAAGGGAGCGUAGACGGAUGGACAAGUCUGAUGUGAAAGGCUGGGGCUCAACCCCGGGACUGCAUUGGAAACUGCCCGUCUUGAGUGCCGGAGAGGUAAGCGGAAUUCCUAGUGUAGCGGUGAAAUGCGUAGAUAUUAGGAGGAACACCAGUGGCG